rnacentral:tRNA from 1 species
AAAGAAUUAGUUUUAAUUUAAAACAUUAAAUUGUCAAUUUAAUAAUAUUUUAAUAUAAUAAAUAUUCUUUU